CCAAACUGAAAAUUCAAUGGAAAGCAUCACCAAUAGAUAAAACUCAGGCAAUGAAGACAAAAUAUAUAAUCUUGAAAAUAAAGUUGACCAUGCAGAGAAGAUGGCAUGAAAACACAACUAUUACAAGUUACUCUUCAUCUUAUCAAGACAACCUUGCUAUUCCAUACCCAGAUAUACACCCAACCAACAAGAAUUUUGCCUUCAAGUGUUACUGUCCUGACCCAAAUAAAAAUUCUAAGAACAUUUCAUCAUUUUGAAGAUUGAGACAAACAAGUGCACCUGGACAAUUUGGAUACUCCAAGACUGGAUAUCAAAACUCUUUCUGGGUCUUGUAGCAGAAGGGAAAAUGGAUAGGUGGAGAACAGCUAACUCUUGAAGUUCUGCUCAGAAGUGACACAGGUUACCUACAGUCACCUUCCAUGAGCCAAAGUGGGUCAGAUGACCACACCUGUGUUCAGUGGAGUAAGACAGAUAAUAUGUCUACAGAAAAGGAUACUACUGGAAAAGCAGCCAAUAUUUUGAACAGAAAUAUAAUAUACCACACAGAAAAUCCUGUGGAGUUGGUCAAAUGCUCUUGAAAAUAAAGAGGAGAAUGUAUGGUCAGACAGGAUCACCUCUUUCUUUCUGCUUUCAAAGCAGAAAUGAUGUCUGAACUACAAACAUCUGGAACAUCUUGGAUCAUGAAGCACUGUGGAAGGCACAGUGGCACAGUAGAAAAAUAGAAAAAACCAAGGUCUCUCAUAAUAUCAUGACUCAUAAAAAAUCCCAGCAACCAUCAAGCUAUGGAUUUUUGCAACAUAUCUCCUAUUUGUUGAAGUAACUGAGUAUAAAAGAUCUCAUAUUAGAAUAUUUUAAUGAAAGAAGAUACAACCCUAUUACACCAAGAUAUCUCAGAUCCUGAUGGAGGAAGAGACAUGGCAAUGCAUGUGAAGACAGGGAAUCUAACCUGGACAGGGAUAGGAGGAAGAGCCACACUGGGGACAUCUCUAAAGGACUGCUGGAGCUGAGAAUAUUUACUCUUGAAACUACAUUUGAGAAUUUCCAUCUGGAAGACACCUUACAUUGGUGGAUCUGGUCGAAGGCUUGCAUUCUAUGAAGGGGAAUACUAUCUCUGAGACGUUAAAUGAUAUGACCAAUAUCAUGGCCUCUUGGUGGCACAGAUGUGCCUACAACCCACUGCAGCCAUCUGAGAGUUACGAUCCAUAGCUCUUUACCUCCAUUCCAUGCUGAAUCUUGAAUUUAAUCUCUUAAUUUCUUUUGAUGUGAUUUUUUUUUCUCUUCUCCCUUUUUAGAUCACUAACCAUCACCUUGAAGUUGGGCCAAAUAAAGCAUGAAUAUAUAAC